AAAAUAUGGAUGUUAAUGUGGGAACACAAUCCUUUUUGUUCAUAAAUGUAUACUUGUAUCAUUUUUGUAAUGUGAGAAGAAGCUAAGCCAUCUGGAAAAAGAAAUUGAAAGAGUUGAAAGAUAUUUGGGUAAAGUACUAAUUCAUGCCAGCCAAAAAUUAUAACAGUGAUUAUUUAGUUAGUGAAAUAACAAACGAUUAGUGAAUCUUCAACUGAGAAGGUAUAGAACUGCCCUAUAAAAUUCAAUAUCCACUACAAGUCUAUCACAUUUUAAAUUUAAAAUUAAAGUUUAAAAUUAAAAAUUCAUUUUUCUCAGUCACACUAGCCACAUUGCUAGUGUUCUUUCAGUAGUCGCAUAUUGGACAGUGACAAAUACAGAGCAGAUGUAGAAAGUCCUAGUAUAUUGCCGGACAGUACUGCUUUAGAACUGUGGCUCAUUUUUCUUUUGGUUUUCAUUUAAAUUAUUUUGAUUUGUAUAAGGGUUUUAUCUGAGGAAGAAAAGAAGAUUAUUUAGGAAAAUUUAGUAUUAUCUUGAGUUUUCUCCACUUUUAUCCCUCUCUCCUUUAAUUUUCAAUCACAUAUAAUAUUGAUAUGUAUUAUUGUGCCAGGGACUUAAUUUAAGUUGUAGAUAGUUCCGAAUACAUUUUCCUCCAUCCUGUUUGUUUCUACAGUAAUUAUAUCUUUGAGCAAGCCAAGAAUUCAGAGCUCUGUAAGUUGACAGUAAAUCAUUAAUUAUAUCACUUACUUUUAAAAAAACUGAAUCUUUUUUCUUUGACUAUUAGGCAAAGUAUAAGGAAGUAAAGGCAAGAAAUGCACAAUUAUUGAAAAUGCUUCAGGAAGGUGAAAUGAAAGAUAAGGCAGAAAUACUUCUGCAAGUUGAUGAAUCACAAAGUAUCAAGAAUGAGCUCACUAUUCAGGUGACUUCACUUCAUGCUGCAUUAGAACAAGAAAGAUCUAAAGUGAAAGUAUUACAAGCAGAGUUAGCCAAAUACCAGGGUGGCAGAAAAGGGAAAAGAAACUCUGAAUCCGACCAGUGUAGGUGAUUACAUUAGCCUUUGAAGUCAACACAAAGUUUAAAACUUCCAGGAUUUUGCAAAGUUGUAUAUAUUUAAUGCUGUGCAACUGCUAAACUAUGCAGUUUUUGUUGAAGGAACUAAAAGCAACUAGCUCCCUAAUGGUCUAUAAUUUUAUUUCUUUUGGCUUAAAGUGAAAAAGAAGAAAUAGAGAAUUCCAGCA
rnacentral:sRNA from 1 species